ACGGGUGAGUAAUGUCUGGGGAUCUGCCCGAUAGAGGGGGAUAACCACUGGAAACGGUGGCUAAUACCGCAUAAUGUCGCAAGACCAAAGAGGGGGACCUUCGGGCCUCUCACUAUCGGAUGAACCCAGAUGGGAUUAGCUAGUAGGCGGGGUAAUGGCCCACCUAGGCGACGAUCCCUAGCUGGUCUGAGAGGAUGACCAGCCACACUGGAACUGAGACACGGUCCAGACUCCUACGGGAGGCAGCAGUGGGGAAUAUUGCACAAUGGGCGCAAGCCUGAUGCAACCAUGCCGCGUGUAUGAAGAAGGCCUUCGGGUUGUAAAGUACUUUCAGCGGGGAGGAAGGCGACGGGGUUAAUAACCCUGUCGAUUGACGUUACCCGCAGAAGAAGCACCGGCUAACUCCGUGCCAGCAGCCGCGGUAAUACGGAGGGUGCAAGCGUUAAUCGGAAUUACUGGGCGUAAAGCGCACGCAGGCGGUCUGUUAAGUCAGAUGUGAAAUCCCCGGGCUUAACCUGGGAACUGCAUUUGAAACUGGCAGGCUUGAGUCUUGUAGAGGGGGGUAGAAUUCCAGGUGUAGCG
rnacentral:rRNA from 1 species